rnacentral:rRNA from 1 species
AAAGCCACGGCUAACUACGUGCCAGCAGCCGCGGUAAUACGUAGGUGGCAAGCGUUGUCCGGAAUUAUUGGGCGUAAAGCGCGCGCAGGCGGUUUCUUAAGUCUNAUGUGAAAGCCCACGGCUCAACCGUNGAGGGUCAUUGGAAACUGGGAAACUUNAGUGCAGAAGAGGAAAGUGGAAUUCCACGUGUAGCGGUNAAAUGCGUAGAGAUGUGGAGGAACACCAGUGGCGAAGGCGACUU